AUAGGAGCAGUGAUUGCAAUCUUUUGUAGACUAGAGUUUCUGAUACUACCACGGUAGUUUUGGACGACCAAACCCUUGGCUGUCUGAGCUCCCAA
rfam:Zea mays cultivar B73 chromosome 1, whole genome shotgun sequence.